rnacentral:rRNA from 1 species
UACGGAGGGGGCAAGCGUUAUUCGGAAUUAUUGGGCGUAAAGGGCGCGUAGGCGGCCAUGCAAGUGACGGGUGAAAGCCCUCGGCUUAACCGAGGAACUGCCUGUCAGACUGGAUGGCUUGAGACCGGGAGAGGUGAGUGGAAUUCCCAGUGUAGCGGUGAAAUGCGUAGAUAUUGGGAGGAACACCAGUGGCGAAGGCGGCUCACUGGACCGGAACUGACGCUGAGGCGCGAAAGCGUGGGGAGCGAACAGG